rnacentral:rRNA from 1 species
AUAUUUAAUGGCCGCGGUAUUCUGACCGUGCAAAGGUAGCAUAAUCAUUAGUUUAUUAAUUGUGGACUUGUAUGAAUGGUUGGACGAGAUAUUGACUGUCUCAUAUUUAUUAUUUGAAUUUAAUUUUUUAGUUAAAAAGCUUAAAUGUUAUUGUAAGACGAGAAGACCCUGUAGAUCUUUAUUUUUUUACUAAUUCUUGUUUUUUAGGUUGUUUUUAUUAUUGUUAGUUUGAUUUUUUGUUGGGGUGACACGGAGAUAUAUAUAACUCUUUAUUUUAUGUACAAUUAUUUUUGAUUUUUUGACCUUUUAUUAUUGUUUAAAGAUAUAGAUACCUUAGGGAUAACAGCGUAAUUUUUUUUGAGAGUUCAUAUCGACAAUAAAGAUUGCGACCUCGAUGUUGGAUUAAGAAUAGUUUGAGGUGUAGGUGCUUUUUAUAUUAGGUCUGUUCGACCUUUAAAUUCUUACAUGAUCUGAGU